UUGGUAAGAGUAACACUCAGUGUUAAUUUGGUAUGUCUGCUGCAUAAAUAUGGCCUCUUUACUGUGUGUACACAUGCAGAUCCCUCUGGUGAGAUUUUCCCAGUAAUAUUUUAAUUGUUAUUAGUUUUACGGUGUUAUUUUAGUUGAUGAUUGGCAAUUAUAUAAAUUUUAAUUUGCAUUUUUUUCUGCUCACUGUCAGUGAAAUAAAAGAAGGACUACAGGAGGUUUAAAGCAUGCCAUUACCUUUAUAAAAAGCUUGGCUGAAAAGUGUCCAAUUUUUGCAUUUUCAUUUGCUGACAUCCUUCUUAAAAUCUACAUACAUAUGGGCCAUUAUGAGUUGGCAAAUGUCUGAUGGUGAUAUUGCAUUAUACCAAAAAUAUACUCUCUGCCAACAACUGAUUGCCACCAAGAAAAGCAAAGUAGUCCAUGUGCAAAAUAAUUUUGAUAGAAUUGACUAUUUAAUGUUCAG